GCCUGGGUGGCUCAGUCGGUCGAGCGUCUGACUUCGGCUCAGGUCAUCAACUUGCAGUUUGUGAGUUUGAGUCCCACGUCGGGCU
rnacentral:tRNA from 1 species